rnacentral:rRNA from 1 species
CCUACGGGAGACAGCAGUGAGGAAUAUUGGUCAAUGGUCGUAAGACUGAACCAGCCAAGCCGCGUGAAGGACGACGGCCCUAUGGUUUGUAAACUGCUUUUAUGCGGGGAUAAAUGUCUUCACGUGUGAUUUUUUGUAUGUACCGUAUGAAUAAGGACCGGCUAGUUCCGUGCCAGCAGCCGCGGUAAUACGGUGGGUGCGGGCGUUGUCCGGAUUUAGUGGGUUUAACGGGAGCGUAGGGUGGUUGUUAAGCUAGCAGUGAACUGCCGUGGCUCAACCAUACCACUGCGGUGGUAACUGGAAUACUGGAGUGCGAGGAAGGUAGGCGGAAUUCGUGGUGUAGCGGUGAAAUGCAUAGAUAUCACGAAGAAAUCCGAUAGCGAAGGCAGCAAACGGAAGCGCAACUGACGCUGAAGCGCGAAGGCGCGGGUAGCAAACAGGAUUAGAUACCCUUGUAGUC